AGUGGACGCUGGCGGCGUGCUUAACACAUGCAAGUCGAACGAGAACGGAAUAUAGCUUGCUAUAUUUGUCAGCUAAGUGGCGCACGGGUGAGUAAUAUAUAGAUAACCUGCCCUUAAGAAAGGAAUAACAGUUGGAAACGACUGCUAAUGCCCUAUAUGCCUUUAAUACAUAAGUAUGCAAGGGAAACGCUUUAGUGCUUAAGGAUGGGUCUGUAUGGUAUCAGCUUGUUGGUGAGGUAAUGGCUCACCAAGGCUAUGACGCCUAACUGGUUUGAGAGGAUGAUCAGUCACACUGGAACUGAGACACGGUCCAGACUCCUACGGGAGGCAGCAGUGGGGAAUAUUGCACAAUGGACGAAAGUUUGAUGCAGCAACGCCGCGUGGAGGAUGACACAUUUCGGUGCGUAAACUCCUUUUAUAUAGGAAGAUAAUGACGGUACUAUAUGAAUAAGCACCGGCUAACUCCGUGCCAGCCGCCGCCGUAA
rnacentral:rRNA from 1 species